GGGCCCGCACAAGCGGCGGAGCAUGCGGAUUAAUUCGAUGCAACGCGAAGAACCUUACCUGGGUUUGACAUGGGCGCUAAAGCCGCAGAGAUGUGGUGUCCUUCGGGGGCGUUCACAGGUGGUGCAUGGCUGUCGUCAGCUCGUGUCGUGAGAUGUUGGGUUAAGUCCCGCAACGAGCGCAACCCUCGUUCCAUGUUGCCAGCGGGUUAUGCCGGGGACUCAUGGGAGACUGCCGGGGUCAACUCGGAGGAAGGUGGGGAUGACGUCAAGUCAUCAUGCCCCUUAUGUCCAGGGCUUCACGCAUGCUACAAUGGCCGGUACAAAGGGCUGCGAUACCGCAAGGUGGAGCGAAUCCCAAAAAGCCGGUCUCAGUUCGGAUCGGGGUCUGCAACUCGACCCCGUGAAGUCGGAGUCGCUAGUAAUCGCAGAUCAGCAACGCUGCGGUGAAUACGUUCCCGGGCCUU
rnacentral:rRNA from 1 species